AGUCUUCAAGAUAGGGAGGAACUUUUUCUCAGCAUUCUAGUAAUUUCUCCAUCUGUUGUGCCCUUCUGCCAAGUAAAGAAAUACUGUUUGGAAGAAGUGAAAUUUCAAUUUCCAGUAAAAAUAUUUUGAUUCUGCAGAACUUUAUGCAUACAUAACAAAAUGUUCCUCUGUCUAAAUGUUUAAAACAAAUGUUUAAACAAAUUGUCAUCUGUUAAAGUGCCCUGAGAGCACUGGGCACUGGGUGUUGACAAAUGGAAAUUCAUUUUUACCAUGAGCGUACUAGUGGGAAUUCUUUUAUGGUUAAGGGAAGUGUUCCAGCACAUCUCAGAGAGGCAGAAAUCUCAUUUGCAGUGCCAGAUCAUCAUGCAUGCUUGUCCACUUUGGUUUUGAACAACCUCGUCUGUUCAUUUUCCUUGUACACAGAAUUGCAACAGGAUAUUUUCUCCACUUUCCCCCACCCUCCCAUAGGUUCUUAGAAGUCUUUCUGGAAUAACUUACCUUAAGACAGUGGGGGAAAUUCCAAGUUUACUUGGAAAGUUCUGCUUUCACAUCCGCAUUACAACUGGGAUCAAUCGAUCUCUUCUCACAGUCAGCCUCAAUGUCCUCUUGCAAUUCUCAUGCAUGUGGAAGUUCCUGGCCUGGCCUCCAGGCUUUCCACACCCAUUCAGAUUCAGACAGAUGGACAGUUUGGGACCACCUGGGACUGUAUUCAUCUUCCCAUGUGCCACGUUGAUAUGAACUGUACACAAUUAGCUGGCAGAUGCCUUAAUUUCAGCCAGCAUGCAACCUCUUUGAGAAGCUGCAACGAGUUCUGUUGCGGUGCUGGAAUUGCUGGUGAUAUGUGCUUUGCAUGAAUCCUGAUCCAUCUCUGAGUCUCAUCUGAAAGACUUAAGAAGUUUGGGUAUCAAGCACAUCUCACCAAGAAACAGUGGGUGCACAGAUACAGUUGUUUUAGUAUAAAACAAUUGAUUUUUUUUUUUCAGAAAGAUGGAAAUAUGCUCUAUUUAGGAAUUUUAAAAACUCCAAACACUGUAUUACAGUAGUUCAUUUCCAAAAUUGCCUUUUGUGCUGUUUAAGUUACUGUUGGAACAGUAUGAUAGUACACUGGAAACCAGUGUUCGUUUCAUUUGAGUGCAUUUCUUUAUUUUGCUCAGAGAAUUAGAUUUCUUCCCAUAUGUGCCACAUAACAGAAGGCAGCGUGUUCAUUGAAUUCUCACAACUGUUGUGGGCCACGUUUCAGUGCAGGAGGACU
ensembl:lncRNA